UCCCUGGUGGCUCAGACGGUAAAGCGUCUGUUUGCAAUGCAGGAGACCCGGGUUCGACCCCUGGGUUGGGAA
rnacentral:tRNA from 1 species